AACGAACGCUGGCGGCAGGCUUAACACAUGCAAGUCGAGCGCCCCGCAAGGGGAGCGGCAGACGGGUGUGUAACGCGUGGGAAUCUACCCAGCUCUACGGAACAACUCCGGGAAACUGGAGCUAAUACCGUAUACGUCCUUCGGGAGAAAGAUUUAUCGGAGUUGGAUGAGCCCGCGUUGGAUUAGCUAGUUGGUGGGGUAAUGGCCUACCAAGGCGACGAUCCAUAGCUGGUCUGAGAGGAUGAUCAGCCACACUGGGACUGAGACACGGCCCAGACUCCUACGGGAGGAAGCAGUGGGGAAUAUUGGACAAUGGGCGCAAGCCUGAUCCAGCCAUGCCGCGUGAGUGAUGAAGGCCCUAGGGUUGUAAAGCUCUUACACCGGUGAAGAUAAUGACGGUAACCGGAGAAGAAGCCCCGGCCAACUUCGUGCCAGCCGCCGCCGUAA
rnacentral:rRNA from 1 species